rnacentral:rRNA from 1 species
GACGAACGUUGGCGGCGUGCCCAAUACAUGCAAGUCGAACGUCGAUGGCGGAGCUUGCUUCUCUGGACGAGUUGCGCACGGGCGAGUAACGCGCAGGUAACCUGCCUGGUAGCGGGGGCCAACCUUUGGAAACGAUAGCUAAUACCGCAUAACAGCAGCUCUUGCAUGUUCUCUGCUUAAACGGUGCACUUGCAUAUCUACCAGAUGGACAUGCGUUGUAUUAGCUAGUUGGUGGGGUAACGGCUCACCAAGGCGACGAUACAUAGCCGACCUGAGAGGGUGGUCGGCCACACUUAGACUGUGACACGGCCCAGGCGCCGACGGGAGGGGGCUGGAGGGAAACAUCGGCAAAGGACGGAAGACUGACCGAGAAACGCCGCGGGAGUGAGAAAGGUGUUCGGGUCGUAGAGCACGGUUGUAUGAGAAGGACGGGUGUUAGAGUGGGAAGGGCACAGUGAGACGGUAUCUUACCGGAAAGGCUCGGCUAACUACGUG